ensembl:snRNA U6 U6 spliceosomal RNA
GUGCUGGCUUCCGCAGCACAGACACUAAAAUUGGAAUGAUACAGAGAAGUUUCACGUGGCCCCUGUGUGAGGAUGACAUAUAAAUUCAUAAAGUGUUCCAUAUUUAG